rnacentral:rRNA from 1 species
CCUACGGGUGGCAGCAGUGGGGAAUAUUGCGCAAUGGGCGAAAGCCUGACGCAGCGACGCCGCGUGAGGGAUGAAGGUCUUCGGAUCGUAAACCUCUGUCAGCAGGGAAGAACGGUCACUGUGCUAAUCAGCAGUGAAUUGACGGUACCUGCAAAGGAAGCACCGGCUAACUCCGUGCCAGCAGCCGCGGUAAUACGGAGGGUGCGAGCGUUAAUCGGAAUUACUGGGCGUAAGGGGUGCGUAGGCUGUGAGGUAAGUCAGCGGUGAAAUGCCCCCGCUCAACGGGGUGAAGUGCCAUUGAUACUGCCUUGCUGGAAUGCGGAUGCGGUGGGAGGAAUGUGUGGUGUAGCGGUGAAACGCAUAGAUAUCACACAGAACACCGAUUGCGAAGGCAUCUCACGAAUCCGCGAUUGACGCUGAUGCACGAAAGCGUGGGUAUCAAACAGGAUUAGAUACCCGGGUAGUC